rnacentral:rRNA from 1 species
AGAGUUUGAUCAUGGCUCAGGACGAACGCUGGCGGCGCGCUUAACACAUGCAAGUCGAGCGAGAACCAGGGCUUCGGCCCUGGGGACAGCGGCGAACGGGUGAGUAACACGUGGGUAAUCUGCCCUCGGUACUGGGAUAGCCCGGGGAAACCCGGAUUAAUACCGGAUGGCCCUUUGAGUCUUCGGAUUCACAGGAAAAGGUAGCUUCGGCCUCCGACCGAGGAUGAGCCCGCGGCGGAUUAGCUUGUUGGCGAGGUAACGGCUCACCAAGGCGACGAUCCGUAGCUGGUCUGAGAGGACGAUCAGCCACACUGGGACUGAGACACGGCCCAGACUCCUACGGGAGGCAGCAGUGGGGAAUCUUGCGCAAUGGGCGAAAGCCUGACGGAGCAACGCCGCGUGGAUGAUGAAGUCUUUCGGGACGUAAAAUCCUUUCAGCAGGGACGAAGCGAGUGACGGUACCUGCAGAAGAAGCAUCGGCUAACUACGUGCCAGCAGCCGCGGUAAUAC